GACGAACGCUGGCGGCGUGCUUAACACAUGCAAGUCGAACGGAAAGGCCCUGCUCUUGCGGGGUGCUCGAGUGGCGAACGGGUGAGUAACACGUGAGUAACCUGCCCCUGACUUUGGGAUAACUUCAGGAAACUGGGGCUAAUACCGGAUAGGAGAUCUUGCUGCAUGGGGGGGGUUGGAAAGUUUCGGCGGUUGGGGAUGGACUCGCGGCUUAUCAGCUUCUUGGUGGGGUAGGGGCUUACCAAGGCUUUGACGGGUAGCCGGCCUGAGAGGGUGACCGGGCACCAUAGGACUGAGGUACGGCCCAGACUCCUACGGGAGGCAGUGGUGGGGAAUAUUGCACAGUAAGCGGAAGCCUGAUGUGGCGGCGCCGCGUGCGGAAUGACGGCCUUCGGGUUGUAAACAAAUUUCGCAUGUGCCGAAGAGUGCGUGACGGUAAUUAGUAAAGAAGCACCGGCUAACUACGUG
rnacentral:rRNA from 1 species